AACAAACGCUGGCGGCGUGCCUAGUACAUGCAAGUCGAACGGGGUAGCAAUACCUAGUGGCGCACGGGUGAGGAACGCGUGGAUAAUCUGCCUUAGAGUGGGGGAUAACUAGUCGAAAGAUUAGCUAAUACCGCAUAAGACCACAGGAGCUGCGGCUCUAGGGGUCAAAGGUUUUUCGCUCUAAGAUGAGUCCGCGUAAGAUUAGCUAGUUGGUGAGGUAACGGCUCACCAAGGCGACGAUCUUUAACUGGUCUGAGAGGAUGAUCAGUCACACUGGAACUGAGACACGGUCCAGACUCCUACGGGAGGCAGCAGUAGGGAAUAUUGCACAAUGGAGGAAACUCUGAUGCAGCGACGCCGCGUGAGUGAUGAAGGCCUUCGGGUCGUAAAGCUCUGUCGCAGGGGAAUAACACAAUGAAUGUACCCUGUAAGAAAGGAUCGGCUAACUUCGUGCCAGCAGCCGCAGUAAGAC
rnacentral:rRNA from 1 species